GCCCAGAUGGUGGAAUUGGUAGACACGACGGUCUUAGAAGCCGUUGCCAUGCGGUGUGAGGGUUCAAGUCCCUCUUUGGGCACCA
rnacentral:tRNA from 2 species